rnacentral:lncRNA from 1 species
GUGAAGAAGAUGGUUUCUCCAUAAGACGCUGCAGCCGUAGCAGACCAACUUGGACACAAAUGAGAUUUUCGCAUUUGUGAAAAAUGCGCAACGCAGGAUGUUUUACUGCUCUAUUGGCGCCGAUGGCCAUUUGGCUAGUGUAACCGGUUCCACAACCCAAUUAAAUUAUUUUGUACCCUGUUUGCCCCGUUCCGUGUAAUUACAUUGUAUUUUUAUUGAUUUCCCUUCACUUGCCCACCCUUGGAAGGCAACAUGCCCAUUCAUGUUAUUGAUCUUGCCUAAUGUUCAUUGCCUAUCGUUCAAGACGAGGGAAAGGAAGAUGAAAUGAUUGCGGAAAAUGUGCCCGAGAUUACUGAGCAAUCACAGCAAACAACCAGGGAUCGCAUCCAUCAGGAUACAACAAUGGUUCUUGCAGAUGACGUUGAAAGUCCAAAUAACAUUUUUUCUACUUGUUCUAUGGAGAGGCCAAUGAGCUGUCCAUUGCCCCACACAGUCUGGCCAGAGAACUAUCAAUAUCAGUACUGAAAACUUCAUUCCUAAGAUUUCAGAGCGAAUCACAAAACGUACCUUUCAUUGGCGGCGCUUGUCGAAAUACAUUCUGAAUGGCACUGGUCGUUCAGGAACAAGGAAAAAACCAUUGAUGCCACCAAUUCGAAUCCAUCGACUAGAGCGGAUGGGUCACUCCUGAUUUAGACGGUCAGGGUAAAAGACGUUCAGUUGUUGUCGUAUCAUUACCACGGAGAUAUUGUAUCCCCCGAUCGGACUAGCACAAAAUUUCACUUCUUACGAACAUCUCGGAGAAUUGAUGACAGCCUUUGAUGGCACAAAACCUUGUACCGCCAUUACUGAGCGAUCAUGAAUAGAAUUGGAAAAGUCCUCGUCGUCACGAUUGCCGUAUAGAAUGAACAGGGGUUGCUGACAGUAGAACUCCUCUUCAGCAGUCAGUCUUGUGUCAGUCUGGUUUCAGUCGCUUUUCGUUCAUCUUCGAGUCUAUUUGCAGUCUUCGGCAGUAAGUCUCUUUUAAUCGGACUCGUCUUGUUAACUGUUAUCUCGGUCUUUGGCAAAAACGUUGUGCAACAAUAAACCCAUCAUCAUCACACACAACUAUUCCCCAUAUUCAAUAUUAAAAGUAAGAAAACCAUUCCCCAUCCUUACACAAGUAUGUUAUUCCAUGAGAACCAUGCCGCGAGUGGUAACCAAUGGAUCCGUUUCCCUUCACGGAUGGGCAAGUAACUUCAAUCGCGCCACCUUUCCUCCGUACAUAGUUUGAAUGUUGAAUUUCCGUUCAUGGAUUGUAUUUCAAUUUUCAGUGUCCCACACAGCACAUUUGGUUCCCCAGGACCUCCCAAGAUCCUCUUAAUUUCCUCCUCAGUCUUACUUGUGAGCUUCCUAAAUUCCUCUAAAAACCAUCUUUUUGGUUACCUGGUGGCUUCCUGAUAACCUCCUCAGUACCUUUCUCACCUUCCCGAGGAUCUCCCCACAACCUCCAAUAAUGAAACAAAUUAACCAUAUAUAUACCGGCUAGUAUUCCGUACCCAGUUCCGGUUUUCAGCAAUAAUUGUUAUGAUAAAAUGAAUACAUAUAAACAAAACACA